rnacentral:rRNA from 1 species
GUUGGACGCUGGCGGCGUGCCUAAUACAUGCAAGUCGAGCGAACAGACGAGGAGCUUGUUCCUCUGACGUUAGCGGCGCACGGGUGAGUAACACGUGGAUAACCUACCUAUAAGACUGGGAUAACUUCGGGAAACCGGAGCUAAUACCGGAUAAUAUAUUGAACCGCAUGGUUCAAUAGUGAAAGACGGUUUUGCUGUCACUUAUAGAUGGAUCCGCGCCGCAUUAGCUAGUUGGUAAGGUAACGGCUUACCAAGGCAACGAUGCGUAGCCGACCUGAGAGGGUGAUCGGCCACACUGGAACUGAGACACGGUCCAGACUCCUACGGGAGGCAGCAGUAGGGAAUCUUCCGCAAUGGGCGAAAGCCUGACGGAGCAACGCCGCGUGAGUGAUGAAGGUCUUCGGAUCGUAAAACUCUGUUAUUGGGGAAGAACAAAUGUGUAAGUAACUAUGCACGUCUUGACGGUACCUAAUCAGAAAGCAACGGCUAACUACGUG